rnacentral:rRNA from 1 species
UGAGGAAUAUUGGGCAAUGCCCGCAAGGGUGACCCAGCAACGCCGCGUGGAGGAUGAAUGUCGUAAGAUUGUAAACUCCUGUUAGAGGGGAAGAAUAGUACCGGUUGGACCGGUAUAUGACUGUACCCUCAGAGAAAGCCCCGGCUAACUACGUGCCAGCAGCCGCGGUAAUACGUAGGGGGCAAGCGUUGUCCGGAUUUACUGGGUGUAAAGGGCGCGCAGGCGGGAUAAAAAGUCAGUGGUGAAAUCCUACAGCUUAACUGUAGAACUGCCUUUGAUACUUUUAUUCUCGAGUUCGGGAGAGAGAGACGGAAUUCCAGGUGUAGUGGUGAAAUACGUAGAUAUCUGGAAGAACACCAGUUGCGAAGGCGGUCUCUUGGUCCGACACUGACGCUGAGGCGCGAAAGCGUGGGGAGCAAAC